rnacentral:rRNA from 1 species
UACGGAAGGUGCAAGCGUUGUCCGGAAUCACUGGGCGUAAAGGGCGCGUAGGCGGCUCGGUAAGUAGGGGGUGAAAUCCUGCGGCUUAACCGCAGGGCUGCCUUCUAAACUGUCGAGCUUGAGCACGGUAGAGGCAGAUGGAAUUCCCGGUGUAGCGGUGGAAUGCGUAGAGAUCGGGAAGAACAUCAGUGGCGAAGGCGGUCUGCUGGGCCGUUGCUGACGCUGAGGCGCGACAGCGUGGGGAGCAAACAGG